UCUCCCUCUCUCACUUUCCACCCCAACCUAGGGUUGCCGCCGCCGCCGCCGCCCCCGCCCCCAUCGCUUCUCUAGCGCUGCCCAUCAGAGGACGGCCGUUUCUCCGCUGCUUCUUCUCUCGCCCUGCUCCAUCCCGACCAGCGCCACCGCCGCCCCUUUUCUCUCGUCUACGGGCGAGCCGUCACCCGUGAGGUGAGACGUCGUCUCCCGGCCAGGACAUAGCGGCAGAGAGGAGCAAGGAAGCAGCAGGGGAAGUCCAAUUGGAAAAGUUAGUGGCGCUACAGAUUUCUUGCUCCCUUGGUCGACGGGGAUGCGGUUUUCGUUGGUGGUGGUGGGAGGGGAACAUGCGUGGCGGUGACGGGAGGACCAUCAGAAGAAGAGGAGGAUGGGGAACAGGGGAGGAGGCCAAGCGGGGAGGAGAGACGUGAAGCAUUCAUUUGCUGCCGUUUCUCCAGGUAAUCUGAUUCUCCGUCAUGUUUGCCGGAGAUUAAACUCCAACGAGUACCAUUGUUUAACUUUGCUUCGCCAUCGUUUUCACGAUGUGAUUCUGAAAUUUUUAGUUGAUGUUUGCAGAUCCAGAGCAAAUAUGGGAGCUCCAGCAAGGCCUUGGUGAGUAGACAAGAUGCCUCUGUCUGCUUGCUCAGCCUCUCUAUUGUGUUGAUUGGGCAUCUUAGGAUUUUAUUUGGGCAACUUGGCUAACCGGGUCCCUGACUGAUUUCAGCAAUCAGCAUUACUAGGUCCACUGUGCCUGAUAAAGAAGCGAUUGUGGUCAUUCAAUUUUAUUUGCAUACGUAUUACGUAAUUACAUACAUAGCCAUCGCAUCCCUUGAUUUUAGACUGAUAUUCAUGGAUUUGUUGGCGUGCUUGCUUGUGUUUUGUGCUCUGAAAAACAUGCUUGUGCUGUGCAGGUUCAGAACCAGUCCAUAUGCGAGACAAUAUUUGAGAGGGUGUCUGAUUUCAUUGGACCUUUUUGCAUUGUUUCCCAAAAAGGAUGAGCCUAGAGGCACGAGACCAUUAUAAUUCAAUCCAUUAUUUAAUUUUACUUUUUGAAAAGGUAGAGUAUAUUGUGUUUGAUAUGCUUUCUGGUUUUAAUUAACAGAAAGGGAUAUGUGACGUUUUGUUUACUCUUCUGUGUGUAACUUCAGAGUAAAACUGUUGUUUUGUGCACUUCCUUUACCUCCUCUUUCCAGCUACCAAGUUUCCUAAUUUUUUAAUGGAAGCCUUAUCCUAAAUAAGAAUUCAAUUUUGUUGCUUGAGAUUUUGACUCGAUCCUGUCCUGCUUUGGAUAAAAUAUUUACCAAGAAUCUGUACUUGCCAGUCUAUUUGUUGAAUAUGGAGAUUAACAAUGUAUUGUUGUCUCACCUAUAUACCCAUUGUUCAUUUUCUUCUUUGGAGGUUCUGAUGUUGCAACCAAUGAGCCUUUGCUCAGGAAAGAUGCUUCUAAGCCAUCUGAUAUGAGCGAUGUUGCACCACAAUGUUCUGUACAUUCAGGUGAACAUCUUUGUUCAGUUUUUUUACUGUCAUUUUGAUUCAAGUAUGUGCAGAAUUUAGUGUAGAUGUCUCGUAUGAAACAGUUACUAAUGUCCAGUACAUCGAGGCUGCAUGAAACCCAUGUUCUCAGGUUAAAUUGCAUGUUGUAGUCCACCUCACCCUCCUUCACUCGUGCCGGCAUGCCGCCCUCCAUGGUAGAAAUUCCUGUAGCGAGCACCAUCUCAUAUGCUGCUGCUCACAGACCCAGUAUCCUCAUGGCAUGUCAACAUCACCGAGGUAUUCUAUCUCCGGUGAACCUGAUUGGGGCAAGUUUUCACUACUGCUGGAUUGCUACCUGCGUUCCUUUUUUUUUUGCUUUUGGAUUCAUUGUAAUGAAUCGUCUCACAUGGUUAUGCUCUAUGGGUGAGUCGUCAAUAGUUGUACCAUAAUAUUUCUGUGUCUACGAAGAUGACCUUUAUCUUUGUUUCUAGAUUGGUUGUUUUGAGCUACUAACAGAUCCUAAUAUCAUACUAUAUCUCAACUACCAUCAGUACCUCAAAUUGCUCUGGCCUAGCACACGCUCAGUUGAUGUACAUAAGCGAAACUAGGGACCAAAUGAGAGAACCAAAUGUUCUGAACCAAGACAGGAGCGCACAGGAACAACUCAAGAGGAGGCACACCUAAUUAUAGUCUCACCAACGCAUGGCCUCGCACAAACAUGGUUCCACAAAUCACAUCCCCUAGAGCUCUUGGAGUAUAACUUUCCCCAAUGGUGUCGGGAUACGAGUAUGGUCUUGCCAUCGCUGAGUUGAGGAUGAUCAGUUCGUCCGAAUUUUGCCAUUCUUCGUGGCCGUAGUUCUCAUUCGUUGUGUUAAUGCGUGAGAUGUAUAUGCUGCGUGCACCUGUUUUUUCAUGUAUCUUCGAUCCCCGCUCUAACAACUUUUUGUGCUGAUGGCUUCAAUUAUAUGCGAUACAAAAGGCACACAUUACUUGUUUGCUCAAAUGACUCAAAGAAAAUACCCCCUCACACAUUACUUGUUUGCUCAAAUGACUCAAAGAAAAUACCCCCUCCUUUUUAUAAUAUACAUUUCCUUGACAUCCAUCCCAAAAAACGUAAGCACCCAUGCAAUUUGAGCAAGUUCUGUGGGGAAUCACCACAUUGUACAUCUGCUUAUAUUUCAGUUGAACCCUUUUGUGCAAGUUGUUCUUUAUUCUGCCAGUUCGUAAAUGUGGAAGACUGGCAGCCGAUGGCUCAGAUAGAUCCUUUAGUGGGGUCAUUUUCUUCAAUCCACUUUACCUAAUGAAUUAGAUUAUUCUUAUAAGAGAAUUGCUAAUUUCGAUCCAAGUGCACAAACAUUGUCCAAUUUCCAUUGCCAUGUCUUUGUUGUUUGUUUAAUUUGUGCAGAGAAGCAUGCAGGAAGAAUUGCAAUACUUCACCACUACCCUUGAUCUUUACUAAAAAUAUAAUGUGCCAUCGACUCAUUAGGUAUAUAGCGCAUUUUUUUUCUUUCAAGAAUGAUUGGUUUCUUUUGGUGGCAUUAGCACCUGAAAAAUUGUUAUUCAAAUUAGCUUAGUUUCCAUAUGAAGAAAACAAACUUAAAACCACUCGAAUAGUAUCUAUAUUCCUGCUAAACUGUGUCAUAGAAAUUUGUCUCUUUUGUUAUAAUUUGGAUUGGAAUUGCAGGAAAUGCUGGCGAUUUGAGAUAUCUUGAUCUCCAACAGUAAAUAGUAUGCAUCAAGUGAUGUCAUUGAUACUAUCAAACAGGCUUUUGGUUGUUCACCGCACGCAGAUCAUCUGCAAGAAGGGUUCAGUUCAGGAACUAAG
rnacentral:lncRNA from 1 species